UUGUGUGAACGUGCAUUUGCUUGUGUGAACGUGCAUUUGCUUGUGUGAACGUGCAUUUGCUUGUAUGAAUGUGUUUGCUUGUGUGAACAUACAUUUGCUUGUGUGAAUGUGUGUUUGAAUCCAGGAGGCCAGUUCCAUCAAUCCGCAUGAGAUUGUCGACGCUGACAGUGGUCGUGGCACAUCAACUUGUUUGAUAGAUGCAGUAGUGGAAGUAUUUUCACAAUAGUUCCGCUGAAGAGAAAGUGUUACGACUUCUGAAGCGAAAAGGAUAAGGACCCAGACUGUGCUCGUUCGACACAGCAGUGGAAGGUAUUAUCUUCAUCAGAGCUCGUUACCUCCAGCACCAACAGCCAACGGGAUGACAUCCCAAG
rnacentral:lncRNA from 1 species